rnacentral:snRNA from 1 species
AUCGCUUCCCGGCCUUUUGGCUAAGAUCAAGUGUUGUAUCUGUUCUUAUCAGUCUAUUUGUGCUUUGGCCAUUGUUGUGUGCACACUUGGAAGACGAUUAAAAAAAUGACAAUUCAUUCCAGUCUCUUAUUUGAGACAUCUG